UUGCCCAUCACCUUUGUCGUCGCCGUCCGCUGCCAUUGCCUCCGCGGCCGCCUUCAUGGAGGAGAACACAGACGCGGCGAACAACCUCAGCAUCGGUGUAUCCUGCAAGAAGAACCAAAUCGAAGUCCAAUACCAAAAAGUUCCUCUUCUUCUACAUUAGUCUCGCGAAUGUGAGCCCUCCCUGUGUCCCUUCUGCAUAUGUUUAAAGAUCGACCAGCUCUCUAUACCUACUUUUGUCUUGUCUCGUCUCAUCUCAUCUCUCUUCGAGUGUGUUUGUAUCUUCAAAAGAAUCUCCUUUCCUGUUAUUUUUGCAUUUGAGCUGCUGGCCAGUAAUUCUUUCUUUUGACGCUUGAAUUCUUGAUUCGGAUCCCUGUUUCUUGAAAGAGAGUUUAUUUCUUUAAAAGAAAACCUUGCUUGCUAUUUUUGGAUUUGAUCUCUUGGCUGUAGCUUUAACUAGAGUUAAGGUUGAAGGGUUUUAUCCGGGUACAGUUCUUUCUUUUGAUUCUUGAAUUCUUGAUUCGGAUCCCUCCAUCUUGGAAGAGGGGUCUAUUGUUGAAUUAAAUUAAAUAUUUUAAAAUUUUAAAACCGCAUGCCAAACAAAGCAAGCCACGGCUAACCAAAUAUUUGACUUGGUCAACGGCCAAGUGGCAAGCAUCCGCGCAUAAGCAAGAGAGUAAACAUGAAAAGAUUCCCAAAGGAAGCAGGCCAAGAUAAGUGUCAUGCAUCCACAUGCAAGAGCAAGCAUGAAAAGACUCCCCGAAGAAGGAAGGAAGCAUGGGCGGCCAAGAUGCAACAAGCCGCAAGAUCAAAGGAGCACAAGAAGACACGUCAUCAAUCUGCGGAAGGAGAGUCUGCUUCUUUUGACGCGCCUGAGCCUAUAUAAAGGCUUUAGGGAUCAUUUCAAACACAACGAAAAAUUCUUUUUUUCCCUCUUGUUCUUAUUCUCUUCUCCUCAUAAUUUCAAUUAUUUUUCUGAGUUUUUUUUUAGCUAUCUACAAGCAUAAACGUUCUCUUCUUUUUUUUUCUGGAGGCGUACUGAUGGGGAAGACGUAGUUCUGUAUUGGAUCGUCGUAUCUCGAGGAAUCUGUGCCAGCGGACCCGUGCGUGAGGGGCAUAAACUUUCUUGGGACAGCGCGUCGGCGUGCUUCGAUCCACAAGCCAUCUUCUUUUAUUUCUUCAUUUUAUUAUUCUAUUUUCAAGUAAAUAAUUUGCUAGUUUAUUAUUCUUAUUUACUAUUAUGAAUAUUAAAAAUAUUUAAUUAUUGAUUUAUCAAUUAUAUUUGUGCAUCUAGGCUAACAAUGCAGAAAAGUUUAUGUAUUAUUAGCACUAGAUUUUAAAUUGCAACAUUUAUUAUACAUUUUGCUGCAUAAUUGCAAAUUGUUAUAUUUUAGUUGUUACACAUUUAUGCUAGCUUCACUUCAUUGCUUAAUUUUUCAAACAAAAUAUUAGAUUGCCUAACCUCCAAGAGAUUUAUUAAUACCUCCAUUUGGACUCCUCACGGAGUAAUUUUCAGAUUUCAUUCAAACAGAAAUUCGAAAAUUGAUUAAUUUAUAGGAGCUAGCUUAAUAUUGCACUUAGGAUGACGAUAUCUAGUGAAAUUAUCCAUUGAAUAACGGUGUCUAAGAAAAGCUUAUCAAAAAGGCCUACGUGCCUAAAAAAGGCUGGUACUUAAGUGGGCCAAAUGCUCCACCACCGAUUUGGAGCUGAUCUGGCUGUUAUUCUUUGAAUUUUUCAACUAGAUAUCUAAAGUUCAAAUUAGAUAUCAGUGCAAUAAUUUGAUAUAAACUUUUUCAUUUCCACAGGUGUCAAAACUGUAUUAAGCUACAAAUCAAUGGCUUUCCACACAUAUGAAAAUCUUAGUACUAAACUUAAAAAGUUUGAUGGUCAAAACUUUAGGAGGUGACAGAAUCAAAUAUGGUUCUGGCUCACCACCCUAGGCUUGAUCUCAACCAUUGGUGAGAGUAUUACUGAAGUCAGUAAUGGGUUAACCCAUCCGCUUUAUGACCUGCUACUUGCCGCAAUUCAAACCCUGCUCCUUCCUCUUCCCAAACUGUUGCUGCUUCCUCCACCUCCUCCACCAGGACUCCAGAAGAAACAAACUACCACUGUCUUCAUAGAAUCCUAGGAGCCCUUUCGGAUAGGCUUUAUGAUAUUUAUUAUAUAGCUAAGAGUGCCAAGGAUCUCUGGGAUACCCUAAAAAAUAAAUAUGGACUUGAUGAUGCCAGGGUAAAGAGAUUCAAGGCCUCUGACUUUAGCAAGUUUAAAUUUGUUGAUUCCACACAUUAGCUAAGCAACCCCACACUUUUAAGUAUUUUAAGUUAGGUUUUCUAUGUUUUCAGAUUUCAUAUGAGGUUUUAUCAUUAUGUUUGAAUAGAAUUCUGUUCAAGAUAUAAGAUGCAGUUACUAGUGCCUCCUCCUAAAGAUUUUCUAGUGCACCAAAACUAAUUAGCAUAGAGUUAACCAUAUCAAUUAAGGUUAUAUUCUUUCUUUCAGCUACUCCAUUAGAUUGGGGUGAAUAGGGAGCUGUCAUUUCAUAAAUUAUCUGAUGUUCUUCACAGAACUGGGUCAGCUCAAAUGAGGUAUAUUCACCUCUUCUAUCAGACCUUAAGGUUUUAAUUUUUUUAUCUAGUUGGUUUUCAGCCUCUGCUUUAUAGAUUUUGAAUUUAUUUAAGACCUUAUUUUUAGCUUUAAUAAGAUAAAGGUGACAGUAUCUAAAAAGGUCAUUUAUGAAAGUUACAAAAUAUUUGUUUUCACCCCUUGAGGUUCUCCCUAAGUCACAUACAUCACUAUGUAUGAGUUCAAGGAGAUCAAAAUCUCUACUUAUAGAGUGGAAGAGUCUUUUAGGUAAUUUGGCCUUUACACAUAUCUCACAUUUGUCAUUAUUCUUAAGUUUUGAUUUUGGGAUUAAGUUCAAGUGCAUUAAUAUUUUAAUUGAACUGUAGUUUACAUGUCCCAGCCUACUAUGCCAGACAACAGGAGAGUCAAUAUGAAGAACAAUAGAAAUUUUAUUCAUAGAUGGAAUAAUUACAUUGAGUUUGAACAACCCAUCACAAAGAAAAUCUUUUUCAAUGAAAGAGACCAUGGGUUACUACAACUUUAUUUGAUUCAAAAACAAUUCGGUAUUCUUGCUGGACAAGCAAGGAUCUACUAACUAGAUUUUUACGGAUGUCUAGAACGUGGUGCACGCCUUGCAGAGGGAGGAUCUUUCUAGAGGNNNNNNNNNNNNNNNNNNNNUAUGAAGAACAAUAGAAAUUUUAUUCAUAGAUGGAAUAAUUACAUUGAGUUUGAACAACCCAUCACAAAGAAAAUCUUUUUCAAUGAAAGAGACCAUGGGUUACUACAACUUUAUUUGAUUCAAAAACAAUUCGGUAUUCUUGCUGGACAAGCAAGGAUCUACUAACUAGAUUUUUACGGAUGUCUAGAACGUGGUGCACGCCUUGCAGAGGGAGGAUCUUUCUAGAGGUAAGUGUCAGAUCCACUCGUCCCACUCCAAGCAUGCGUGCCACAACAUUAUUACUCAUGGUCACAGUUCCUCCACAUGAGACCUGAUAAGAUGAAAAUCAGAAGCGAUCAGAAUAAAUAUGUAUACUAGCUCCGGUAUCAAUCCAGACAAGUGCUAAUUUGGUCAUGUUAACUUUAGGUAUGAAAAAACAGACCUAAUAGCAGUUCCAGAAGAGUCAGCCCCACAGGUCACCAUGUUGGCCUGGGCACCAGAAGUGGCAGGAUCCUUAUUUCUAGGUUGACGAGGAGUAGUGAUCUUGUAAAAGCAUUGGUUGGCUAUAUAGUUGGUCCAACCACAGACAAAAUAGCAACGAACAAAUUCUUCUUCUUUCUCUUUUUUCUGGUUCUGAGAGAAGUUGGGUCUUUUGUUGUUGGGCUGGAAGGAGUUCCUAUGGUUGAAUGAUUUCUUCUUGAAGGACUUGUUAUGGUUGGGAUGGAAAAAAUGAUUCUGAUUUUUGGAUUUGGGCUUGGAUUCAAUAUUGUUGACUUUAGGCAAAGGAUUGGAGGAGUGGAAUUUUUUCCUAAGGCGAUGUUGUUCUUCAAUCCUAAUAGAAUUUAGGACUUGAGUUAGAGACAGAUCUCCUUGGGUGUGGCUCAAAGUCUUGGCAAAAUCUGAUCAGGUAGAGAAAAGUUUGUCUAUGAUACAGGCAACUUAGAAAGACUCAUCUAGGUGGGUUCCAUUUGCCUGGAGUUAAAGAAUCAGGAUUUUAUAUUCAUGGAUUUGAUCAUUCAUAGGUUUGGAAUCAACAAAUUUAAACUUGCUAAAGUUAGAGGCCUUGAAUCUCUUUAUCCCGGCAUCAUCAAGUCCAUAUUUAUUUUCCAAGGUAUCCCAGAGAUCCUUGGCACUCUUACCUAUAUAAUAAAUUUCAUAAAGCCUAUCAGAAAGGGCUCCUAGGAUUCUAUGAAGACAGUGGUAGUUGGUUUCUUUUGGAGUCUUAGUGAAGGAGGUGGAGGAAGCAGUAGCAGUUUGGAAAGAGGAAGGAGCAGGGUUUGGGUUGCGGCGAGUAGUAGAUCGUGAAGCAGAUGGGUUAGACCCAUUACUGACUUCAAUAGUGCUCUCACCAAUAGUUGAGAUCAAGCCUAGGGUGGUAAGCCAGAACCACAUUUGAUUCUGCUACCUCUUAAAGUUUUGACUAUCAAAUUUUUCAGAUUUAGUACUAAGAUUUUCAGAUGUAUGGGAAGCCAUUGAUUUGUAGCUUAACACAGUUUUGACAUCUGUGAAAAUGAGAAGGUUUAUGUCAAAUUAUUGCACUGAUAUCUAAUUUGAAUUUUAGAUGUCUAGUUGAAAAAUUCAAAAAAUAAUAGCCAGAUCAGCUCCAGAUUGGUGGUGGAGCACUUGGCUCACUUAAGUACCAGCCUUUUUUAGGCACAUAGGCUUUUUUGACAAGCUUUUCUUAGACAUUGUUAUUCAAUGGAUAAUUUCAUUAGAUAUCGUUUAAUUUCAUCCUAAGUUUAAUAUUAAGCUAGCUCCUAUGAAUUAACCAAUUUCUGAAUUUUCGUUUGAAUGGAAUUUGGAAAUUACUUCGUGAGGAGUCCAAAUGGAAGUAUUAAUAAACCUUUUGGAAGUUAGGCAAUCUAAUAUUUUGCUUAAAAAAUUAAGCACAAAAGUAAAGCUGGCAAAAAUGUGUAACAGCUAAAAUAUACUAAAUCCUAUGAUUUGAUACAAAUACUAAUUUUGAAUAUGAUAAUCAGAUUCAAUGAUUUUUGGAGAUUGAUCUAUGAUAUCAUACCAAGAUUGUGCAUGUAAUAUGUGGCAGUUGUGAUAUCAUACCAAGAUUGUGCAUGCAAUAUGUAGCAAAAUGUAUAAUAAAUGUUGCAAUUUAAAAUCUAGUGCUAACAGUACAUAAACUUUUCUGGAUUGUUAGCCUAGAUGCAUAAAUAUAAUUGAUAAAUCAAUAAUUGAAUGUUUCUAAUAUUCAUCAAUAGUAAAUAAGAAAAAUAAACUAGCAAAUUAUUUACUUGUAAAUAGAAUAAUAAAAUGAAGAAAUAAAAAAAGAUGGCCUGUGGAUCGAAGCACGUUGAUGCGCUGUCCAACAAAGUUCAUGCCCCCUACGCACGGGUCCGCUGGCACAGAUUUCUAGAGAUACGAUGAUACAAUACAAAAUCACGUCUUUUCCGUCAGUGCUCCUCCAGGGAAGAAAGAAGAGCACGUUCCCGCUUGCAGAUAGCUCAGAAGAAACUCAGAAAAAUAAUUGAAAUUAUGUGGAGACGAGAAUAAGAACAAGAGGGAGAAGAGGAAUUUUUCAUUAUCUUGAAAUGAUCCCUAGAGCCUUUUAUAUAGGCUCAGGUGCGUCAAAAGAAGCAAAAUCUCCUCCCGCAGAUUGAUGACAUGUCUUCUUAUGCUCCUUUGAUCCUGUGACCUGUUGCAUCUUGGCCGCCCAUGCUUCCUUUCUUCUUUGGGGGCCAUUCCAUGCUUGCUCUUGCGCGUGGAUGCAUGACCCUUGUCUUGGCCUACUUCUUUUGGGGAUUUUUUCAUGUUUGCUCCCUUGCUUAUGCGCGGAUGCUUGACACUUGGCCGUUGACCAAGUUAAAGCAGAAGCAGAAAGCCCGUUGACGCCGAAUUUGAAUUCAAAUUUUGAAUUUAGACGAAAGGUUUAAAAUAUUUAAUUUAAUUCAACAGUUCUUUCUUUUGAUUCUUGAAUUGAUUCGGAUCCCUAUUUCUUGGAAGAAAGGUGGUCCAGGAGUUUCCAGCGUUCUUUAGUUGACAAUCCAAAAGUUUCUAGCCUUCUUUAGUUGAUGAUCUGAUAACUGGAGCAUCCAGCUACUUUGUUUUUUGGUCUAGGAUUCUUUGGUUCAUGAUCUGCUAACCGAAGCUUAGAGUUACUUGUAUUGAUUUUUCGAAAGAUUUGUCCUUUUUGCACUUCUUGUCAAGUAUAUUUCGUUUUUCUUUUACUAGUUUUAUCAUGAUAUUUGUUCUGUUCAAUCGCAUUCACAGAGAUGUAUGCAGCGACAUAAUGAGGUUGAGCUUCUGGCUUUGGGCUAUUUCUCUUUGCUUGUUUUUAAUAACUUAUGGCAUGUUUAGAUCUUUCUUGUAUGGAUUAGUUGAGUUAUAUCACAUGUUUUAGAUCCUUAUUUAAAUUAUAUGUUACUAGUUUUUGGUUUUGAUAAUCUCAUUUCACCCGAAUUAGGAUACUUUAUUUAGAGUAAUCUGGUAUCAACACAAUGAUGAAAAGAUCUGCUUUAGAUUUUUCUUUCGUUUAAUUUAUGCAACUUACUCAAAAAAAGGAAAACCACCUUAUUGUGAGUGCACAAUGAUAUUUUUGGGCCGAAAAAAAGAUAAGCUCUUAAAUACACCUUUUUUUACCUGCAUCCACUCAUUAAAUGGUUGUAAAUGAAAAAUACCUGCACAUUUUGUGUGCUAUUUUUUUUUUUUGAAUAACCCAUCAUGAAUACCUUCUCAUUGCAUUCAAAUGUUGAUCACAGGUGGAGGAUUCUAUUAGUUCUCUAACCGGUUAUAUUUUAAGAUCGUAAACAAGAUGGAUAACUUUGCUUAUUUGUGUGAUUGAAGUGUAUGUAUCUGUAGAGAUUUCCACUUCAAUUUUCCAUAGAUGUUGCUUAUAUCUUUUAGACACCUACAAUAGGACUUCCUACAAUUGAUUCUUUCAGGUGACAUGAUCAAGAGAUGCCUGAUCUUUCAUCAGGAAUAAUGGUUUCCUUAGAUCAAUCCGAUCUCAUAUUUUUCGUGAUUGACGUUCUCAGGCUUCUUUGAGGCUGAAAAUGGAUGUUAAGGACAUAUUUGGUCGGGGGAUAAUGUUGUUUGGUCAGGGGAUAAUUAGUCAUCAGAAGUCCUCAUGUACGUAGGUCCUCACCCACUUGUUAUGCGUGGAAUGAUCUGUUUCAUUUUUGAUGUGAAUCAGUGGCUUGAUGUCAUUGUAGGUAACUUCAAAAGGAGGACCAUUAUUGGGCAUUUAUGCACCCCAUUUGAAUUAAUUUUCUACUGUAUGUUGCAGGCUUUUUACUGCAAAAUAGACAGGAUAAUCCUGCUUAGUCUAUUAGAUAGGCAAGAUCCACCCCCUAUCUUAAAUAGGAUUCUUGCGAAUAACAGGUAUGGGGACUUUGAUGUAUGAAAGCUCAUUACUUGAUUGUCGUUAUCAAUGUCAUGAUUGUUAAAUUACGUGAUAUCUAUAAGUCUAUUUUUGUAUCUCUGCAUAUUCCCAUGCUCAUACAAUCUCUCAAGUGUUAGGGGAGAACACAUCUAUUGAUUAAAAAGUGUAUUCUAAUGAUGUUAAAAAGUAGACAAGGUUUGGCAACGAGUUCAUUGACUCUGCAUAUGCAUACUUAAAAAGGAAGUGCGAUUGUGUUCUUUUGCAGACAUUUCUUUUCUUUAUGUAUAAAUGCAUGUGUCCCUGUGUAAGCACGCGUGCAUAAGCAUGGGUGCAUUCAUGUGCUUGGCUGUGGGUAUGACUUCUUAUUGAAGUUGAGUUGGGGAAUUAUAUAAGGAUCACUAUCCACGGCUUAUGCCGGCACCAAUAUUAUCAUCCAUCUGACACCCUUAUUUCUGUUGGCUGAGCUAGCCUUGGUAAUGUCAAUGAAGAAUUUGCAAAAAUAGUAAAUUUAGUAUACAUGGGUUUUUCAGCAGACUAGAUCUUGGAAAAGCUUAUCCGGAGAUAGACUUUGAAAUUAUGCAGUACAUGUUUGCAAGCAUACACACACAUGGUGGUUGGGACUUCUUGCGAUUACACCAAGAAGGCUGAUAACUAGUUCCAAUAUUGUGGUGCGUGGUACUUCAUUGUUUCAUUUGCUGUUGGCCACCUACAAUACCGACAUGUUCUGUUCACAUUGUGAUCAUGAGGGAUUGGUUUGAAAUAUGUUUUUUUUUUUGACCAAUUAGUUUUAGCUAUGUCGUAUACGUAUGUCUAGCUCUUAUAUGCAUGUAUCUCAUGUAUCAGAGGUGUGAUCUUUGUAUAACUUAGGUUUUGUAGAUGUCGUGGUUCAGCCUGUUCAUGUGUGGCUUUUGAUGAUUUUAUUUUACUUGGUAAUUGUUUUAUGUUUCUGCGAUGUUUGAUAAUAAAUAUGCUCUUCCCAUCCUUCAUCCUAUUGAAAUCUUUGUAGGCUGCAAUAACCUGAGUAGUUGAGAUAGUGUCACAGAGAAGAAAUAUUUGGUCUUCAAAUAUCAACCUGCCUUGACACCAACCAGAAAGUUAUCUAUCUUUUGGGUGUAUAUCUGGUUGACUCAAAAGUUUCAGAUAAUGUAUUAGUGUGUUCUUCUGGUCCAUUUCAUCCAUUUAGCAUAUUUUGGUUCAUCAGUCUUUCAAGUGAUCCAUCUGUUGAAUGCAGUGAUUGUUUAAUUGAUGCAAAACCAUAGUUGAGGGUCCAUUGGCACAAAAAGAUGUGAAUAGGAACAUAAUUGCUUAAAUCUGCAUAAAUUCCUUAAUAUCAAUCCUGCUGCAAUAGUUGUGAUUUGUGAGUCCUCUUAUAAUAUUUAUAAUGCACCUAAUCUCAUUUGCUAUUGCCUUCCUGUAGCUGAUCUUUUACCAGUAUUAGUGCUCUAUUGUACUGCUAUGUCAAUAUUGUCUUGUUUUCCUACAUUCCCUCCAUCAUGAAACAAUGUUUGCAACUAUUUAAUUUAUUGUAUAAAUGACCGUUCUCAGAUUUAUAUUUCUCGUCUUACAAUCACACUGAAUUCUUGAACUAACUGAUGCUUUAUUUUUCUUUGUUUAGGCAAUGCAUGAUAUGCUUUAGCACCAGCAUUAAUGGGCUCUCCCUCUUUCUCUUGGAGUCAAUACCAUGGCAAUGGAGGAGUGACUGAAUAUCUAAC
rnacentral:lncRNA from 1 species